GUUCACAUUGGCAGCACAUACAUAAAAAUCAGGACAAUGCACAGAAGAUUAGCAUGGCCCUUCUGCAAGGAUGACACUCAAAUUUGUGAAGCGUUCCAUACUUUU